UACGGGGGGGGCAAGCGUUGUUCGGAAUUACUGGGCGUAAAGGGCGUGUAGGCGGCCAACUAAGUCCGACGUGAAAUCCCAAGGCUUAACCUUGGAACUGCGUCGGAUACUGGAUGGCUUGAAUUCGGGAGAGGGAUGCAGAAUUCCAGGUGUAGCGGUGAAAUGCGUAGAUAUCUGGAGGAAUACCGGUGGCGAAGGCGGCAUCCUGGACCGACAUUGACGCUGAGGAGCGAAAGCUAGGGGAGCAAACGGG
rnacentral:rRNA from 1 species